UGGGGAAUAUUGCACAAUGGGCGCAAGCCUGAUGCAGCCAUGCCGCGUGUAUGAAGAAGGCCUUCGGGUUGUAAAGUACUUUCAGCGGGGAGGAAGGGAGUAAAGUUAAUACCUUUGCUCAUUGACGUUACCCGCAGAAGAAGCACCGGCUAACUCCGUGUCAGCAGCCGCGGUAAUACGGAGGGUGCAAGCGUUAAUCGGAAUUACUGGGCGUAAAGCGCACGCAGGCGGUUUGUUAAGUCAGAUGUGAAAUCCCCGGGCUCAACCUGGGAACUGCAUCUGAUACUGGCAAGCUUGAGUCUCGUAGAGGGGGGUAGAAUUCCAGGUGUAGCGGUGAAAUGCGUAGAGAUCUGGAGGAAUACCGGUGGCGAAGGCGGCCCCUGGACGAAGACUGAC
rnacentral:rRNA from 1 species